UUCUAUUUUUUAUUGCAGUAAAUUUGAUUAGAGUGUUGUGAUUGGCUGUACAGAAUCUGCUCAAUGAUUCAUACAUAUGUCUGUUCAUCUUCGGAUCCUGUUACCAUGUAUGUUAUUACAGAAUGUUGAGUAGACCUCCCUUGGUAUUUGGCUCAUGUGUAGUCCUGAAAACGGCAUUGUUCAUUUCUUUUCCGAGGCUACUAUUCCAUUCGGCUCAUCUAUGGUGCUGCAAAGAGCAGUGUUUCAUCCUUUUCCAUGCGAAUAUUCCAUUGUGUACAUGGA